UCCUACGGGAGGCAGCAGUGGGGAAUAUUGCACAAUGGGCGCAAGCCUGAUGCAGCAACGCCGCGUGAGGGAUGACGGCCUUCGGGUUGUAAACCUCUUUUAGUAGGGAAGAAGCGUGACGGUACCUGCAGAAAAAGCACCGGCUAACUACGUGCCAGCAGCCGCGGUAAUACGUAGGGUGCAAGCGUUGUCCGGAAUUAUUGGGCGUAAAGAGCUCGUAGGCGGCUUGUCGCGUCUGCUGUGAAAACCCGGGGCUCAACCCCGGGCCUGCAGUGGGUACGGGCAGGCUAGAGUGCGGUAGGGGAGAUUGGAAUUCCUGGCGUAGCGGUGGAAUGCGCAGAUAUCAGGAGGAACACCGAUGGCGAAGGCAGAUCUCUGGACCGUAACUGACGCUGAGGAGCGAAAGCAUGGGGAGCGAACAGGAUUAGAUACCCUGGUAGUCCAUGCCGUAAACGUUGGGAACUAGAUGUAGGGCCUGUUCCACGGGUUCUGUGUCGUAGCUAACGCAUUAAGUUCCCCGCCUGGGGAGUACGGCCGCAAGGCUAAAACUCAAAGGAAUUGACGG
rnacentral:rRNA from 1 species